rnacentral:rRNA from 1 species
AUUGAACGCUGGCGGCAUGCCUUACACAUGCAAGUCGAGCGGCAGCGCGGGGGCAACCCAGGCGGCGAGCGGCGAACGGGUGAGUAAUACAUCGGAACGUGUCCAGUAGCGGGGGAUAACCUGUCGAAAGAUAGGCUAAUACCGCAUACGACCUACGGGUGAAAGCGGGGGACUCUCGGGCAACUGAGGGCCUCGCACUAUUGGAGCGGCCGAUGUCGGAUUAGCUAGUUGGCGGGGUAAUGGCCCACCAAGGCGACGAUCCGUAGCUGGUCUGAGAGGACGACCAGCCACACUGGAACUGAGACACGGUCCAGACUCCUACGGGAGGCAGCAGUGGGGAAUUUUGGACAAUGGGCGCAAGCCUGAUCCAGCCAUGCCGCGUGAGUGAAGAAGGCCUUCGGGUUGUAAAGCUCUUUCGGCGGGGACGAAACGGUCCGUGCCAACACCACGGACUAAUGACAGUACUCGCAGAAGAAGCACCGGCUAACUACGUGCCAGCAGCCGCGGUAA